UUUAUUUCCGUCUUCGGAACAGGCAGCUGCUAGCUCGUGAUGUCGGGGAAACAGACACCUGCUGUUGAUAUGGGAGGUAUGAGUUACCUCGUUUAAGGUCUCGGGAGCGAAGAAGAGGUUUAUCUCCGCCGCAGGAUACAAGAUACACAUCUCCGCUGGACGCUGCUGGACGGUACUGGAUGCAACGUCAUCCGUCCCGUUAGUGCCCCUGGAUGUCUCGUCAUGGACAUCAGUAGCCUUGGACAGAUGGAUUGGUAGCAAUCAUUCCGGACAACACAUGCCCGGAAGCUGCCUCGCGGCCGCUCCACCCCAGGCCUGCGGCGGGACGUCAUGCCCACGGCCUGACAGACGUGGUGGAUGCUGUCACUGCUGCUCUACUGUCCCAUACAGUAGAUGAGGACGAAGAAGACGUCAUCACGGUCCGUAGUUCUUCCGCGCACUCGUGUACUCACUCGACAUUUCUUUACACAUUAGCCUCUAAACUCACCCGCUCUCUUUAACUAUAAGCGUCCAAGUGAAAUACCUCGUACAGUCUAUCGAAAAUCGCUGCAAACACUGGAACGGAAAAACCUCUUCUUUUCUUGCUACCCUAACUAACCUUAAAUAAAGUGUAAGCAACCUUGAUUUAAAAUAAACAAUGUAACUUUAAAAUAAUAUUUCCUUAAAAUCUUAUAAACAUACCAUUAACUUAUUAAACAAAAACAAUAGCAGUUUAUAAUUGUUUUGAUAUCAUAUGUUUGCAAAUUUAUAAGUUUGUUUACAAACAUAUCAAACCUUAUAUUAUUGAACCUGGCAGAAAUAACUUAUUCUUGGCUCUGCCCACAAUAAUAUUUAUAAAUAUAUUACUGUUUGAUAUAAAUAACACAUUCCUAUACACAUGACUAAAUAAUAACAUUGUUUUAUACAAUAAAUACAGUCAUAUUUACAACACAUUUAUGUUAAUGAUUAAAAUACAGCUCAUUGUUGUAACUGUUUUAACUGCCAUUAGCAGUAAUUAAAUAAUCUGUCCUUACUCUGACAGUAAAUAAAUAAAUUUUAUUUUUAGUCACAUUCCUUAGGUUUUGUUAAACCUUAACAAUCACUACAUCACAAGGUCUUUAACAUUGCCUUAAAAAUUACACCACAAUAAUUUCAGCACUGAAGUAUCUGAAGAAUCUUAUUACAGUAAACUGUGAAAUAAAGUGCUAUAAUGGGUGAUAUAUAUGUGAUGUACCUAAGUCAGUGAUGGUGAAAAUAAAUCGUCGAUUAAUGUU